rnacentral:misc_RNA from 1 species
GAAAUGCGAUAAGUAAUGUGAAUUGCAGAAUUCAGUGAAUCAUCGAAUCUUUGAACGCACAUUGCGCCCGCCAGCACUCUGGCGGGCAUGCCUGUUCGAGCGUCAUUUCGACCAUCAAGCCCCCGCGGGGGCUUGUGUUGGGGACCUGCGGCUGCCCGCAGGCCCCGAAAACCAGUGGCGGGCUCGCUGUCACCCCGAGCGUAGUAGUUCUCGCCUCGCUCAGGGACGUGCUGCGGGUGUUCCGGCCGUUAAAACCCCCCAACGUGUACCCCUAGAGGUUGACCUCGGAUCAGGUAGGAAUACCCGCUGAACUUAA